GUGUUGUAUGAAAGGAAAGAAGGUUAGCACUCCCCUUGACAAGGAUGGAAUUGGUCCCUGUGGCAACCAACACAUUAAUUUUAU